GCUGCCCCUAAAGUCAUUGUAGAUGUGGCUGCUGUAUCACAUGUGCAUCAGUAGGUGGCAGAGAAGAGAGAGACUAUGUCCACACUCAGUAUUCUGAGCUAUGAUCAUCUGAGUGAUUCGUGUAACAUU